GAGAGAAGAGAGGAAUAUGGAGAAAAAAAGAACGUCUGAACAUGACAAGAGGAGGAGAGUAGCCCCGUGGAGACGGAUAGCUUCUGAAGCUCUCAAAGGUCAUCUGAUGUUAUCCAAAGAUCAUCUUCAGUCGCCUUUUUUACACACGGCUGAACAGCUGGAGUCAAGCACCUGUCAAUCAAAUCUUUCAUAAUCUGCAGCUACAGCAAAGUGGCUUCUGCUUCUCAUUGUAAUCAAUCUGAGGAGGCAAUUUUCACUGAGGAAUCAACACGAGAAUCAAUCAAAUUUUGCAGCGGCCUUUGAUUUAUAUCUAGAGGUAAAGACGAAGAGUGCUCCGCGGGGACCGAGUCUGGCGUGCUCGCGGUAGACAGAGGCAAACGGAUAUCACACACCGGGGCGAGGGUGUGUGCUCUGACAGCUCAUCAGUGGACAAUAAGGCCUUGGCUGUUAAUGUCCUGCUACCUGGCACUCUGCGGGGUCACAAUCUGCUCCAGAUGCUGGAGGCAGGCAUCCAACGCGAGGGACGACGCGGAUAAGAGGCACCGCUGCACGGCGUACAUCAUCACAACGGAUGCAGAGGAAGGAUCAGCAAUCUGGCAUGAGGCUGGGAUGUGUGUGUGUGCGAGUGUGUGCGGGUGUAACCCAAUGUGCACAGCUCCACCUGCUGGACAGAGAGCGCCACAGCAGCACUAAAACAGGCCUGGAGCUGCAGGAUUUACGAGUGUAAUGACCACAGUCAUUUUACUGAAUGGGACCAUAUCUCUGCCAGCAGGUUUAUUAAUGGAUGAAGAGUGAGCAUUAACGUGAGCGCUGAACAAAGAUUACCAGCUCAUAGAGUAUUUCAGGCACUUUAUGAAGAGAUCCCUGCUGUAUGUACAUGCAGUAUGAGUCUGACUCUAUUUACUCUCAACCUUUGUUUUUACUCAAGCAUUGUUUGGGCUCCAACAGACUUCACUAUACAUUCAACAUGCUUCUCCUAUUCAGAGCCUACAUUACAUUAACAUAUUUAAGAAGUAACUCUUGU